UACGUAGGGUGCAAGCGUUUGUCCGGAAUUAUUGGGCGUAAAGAGCUCGUAGGUGGCCUGUCGCGUCGGCUGUGAAAACUCGGGGCUCAACUCCGAGCUUGCAGUCGAUACGGGCAGGCUAGAGUUCGGCAGGGGGAGACUGGAAUUCCUGGUGUAGCGGUGAAAUGCGCAGAUAUCAGGAGGAACACCGGUGGCGAAGGCGGGUCUCUGGGCCGAUACUGAAACUGAGGAGCGAAAGCGUGGGGAGCGAACAGG
rnacentral:rRNA from 1 species